AGAUUGAACGCUGGCGGCAUGCCUUACACAUGCAAGUCGAACGGCAGCACGGGAGCAAUCCUGGUGGCGAGUGGCGAACGGGUGAGUAAUGCAUCGGAACGUGCCCUGAAGUGGGGGAUAACGUAGCGAAAGUUACGCUAAUACCGCAUAUUCUGUGAGCAGGAAAGCAGGGGAUCUUAGGACCUUGUGCUUUAGGAGCGGCCGAUGUCGGAUUAGCUAGUUGGUGAGGUAAAGGCUCACCAAGGCGACGAUCCGUAGCGGGUCUGAGAGGAUGAUCCGCCACACUGGGACUGAGACACGGCCAGACUCCGUACGGGAGCAGCAGGUGGGGUAAUUUGGACAAGUGGGCG
rnacentral:rRNA from 1 species